rnacentral:tRNA from 1 species
UAGCUCAGUGGUUAAGAGCAUUGACUGUUCUUCCAAAGGGCCUGGGUUCAAUUCCCAG